rnacentral:rRNA from 1 species
GCAAUAUUAGAGACCGGSGCACGGGUGAGUAACGCGUAUGCAACCUGCCCUUUACAGGGGGAUAGCCCGUAKAAAUGCGGAUUAAUACCCCMUAGUACUGUUUUUUCGCAUGGGGAAACARUUAAAGUUACGGCGGUAAAGGAUGGGCAUGCGUGACAUUAGCUAGUUGGUGAGGUAACGGCCCACCAAGGCUACGAUGUCUAGGGGUUCUGAGAGGAAGAUCCCCCACACUGGUACUGAGACACGGACCAGACUCCUACGGGAGGCAGCAGUGAGGAAUAUUGGUCAAUGGGCGUUAGCCUGAACCAGCCAUCCCGCGUGCAGGAAGAAGGCCCUAUGGGUUGUAAACUGCUUUUUCGCAUGAAGAACACUCCGGACGUGUCUGGAGCUGACGGUAAUGCGUGAAUAAGCACCGGCUAACUCCGUGCCAGCAGCCGCGGUAAUACGGAGGGUGCAAGCGUUAUCCGGAUUUAUUGGGUUUAAAGGGUGCGUAGGCGGUAUUUUAAGUCAGUGGUGAAAUGCUGCAGCUCAACUGUAGAAUUGCCAUUGAAACUGAGGUACUUGAGUAAUCUUGAGGUAGGCGGAAUGUGUAGUGUAGCGGUGAAAUGCUUAGAUAUUACACAGAACACCGAUUGCGAAGGCAGCUUACUAAGGAUUUACUGACGCUGAUGCACGAAAGCGUGGGGAUCAAACAGGAUUAGAUACCCCUGKUAGUCCACGCCGUAAACGAUGAUAACUYCGCUGUUKGGCGAUACACAGUCAGCGGCUUAGCGAAAGCGUUAAAKUUAUCCACCUGGGGARUACGCUYGCMAGAGUGAAACUCAAAGGAAUUGACKGGGGSCCCGCACAAGCGGRAGAACAUGKUGUUUAAUUCGAUGAUACGCGAGGAACCUUACUUGGGCUAAAUGGUGYYWUGAMCGCYCGGAAAAAUUUKGCUUUUCGCAARAACRRAUUAMAAAGGKGCUUGMMUUG